rnacentral:lncRNA from 1 species
ACAAUCGGCAGAGGAACCAAUUUCAUAGAAUAUAGCGGAAAAUCCCAUAGCUAAGGCAAUUGUACCGAGAAACACCACAUCUUUAUUCUCAGAAUCACCAUCUAACCCUAAUUUCUUCAACUCCAGCAAUGCUCUUCCCGCUUUCAACAACUCGCCGAAAACAUUGCCCUUAAGUUUACCAAGCAGCACCUUAUCAACUGCCUUUCCCAUCACAGACACCAAAGGCAACACAAGAGCCUGGACAACCUGCUUACUCAGG